rnacentral:rRNA from 1 species
UACGUAGGCAGCGAGCGUUGUUCGGAAUUACUGGGCGUAAAGAGUGUGUAGGCGGUGCUCUAAGUCCGCUGUGAAAGUCCAGGGCUCAACCCUGGAAAGCCGGUGGAAACUGUCGAGCUCGAGUCCGGAAGAGGCGAGUGGAAUUCCUGGUGUAGCGGUGAAAUGCGCAGAUAUCAGGAGGAACACCAAUGGCGAAGGCAGCUCGCUGGGACGGUACUGACACUGAGACGCGAAAGCGUGGGGAGCGAACAGG